GUAGGUGGCAAGCGUUGUCCGGAAUUAUUGGGCGUAAAGCGCGCGCAGGUGGUUCUUUAAGUCUGAUGUGAAUGCCCCCGGCUCAACCGGGGAGGGUCAUUGGAAACUGGGGAACUUGAGUGCAGGAGAGGAAAGUGGAAUUCCACGUGUAGCGGUGAAAUGCGUAGAUAUGUGGAGGAACACCAGUGGCGAAGGCGACUUUCUGGCCUGUAACUGACACUGAGGCGCGAAAGCGUGGGGAGCAAACAGGGAUUAGAUACCCUGGUAGUCCACGCCGUAAACGAUGAGUGCUAAGUGUUGGGGGGGUUUCCCGCCCCUCAGUGCUGCAGCUAACGCAUUAAGCACUCCGCCUGGGGAGUACGGUCGCAAGACUG
rnacentral:rRNA from 1 species